AGCCUAGCCUGCUAGUACAAGAAGGAUGAGAGUCACAUGGAGCACAACUGCCCCAGCUGAGAACAGCCAACCACAACUGUAGUGCAAAAUUCCACAUCCACAAAACCCACCUGGCCAGUGAUGGCUUGGGUAAGGACGGAGAAUGCAGUGGGAUCAGAACCCUAGAGUGGGCAUGAAGAGGAGAAAAAACAAAUUCUGAAAUCACCAUGGAAACACUACAGAGAUAACCUUCAUAUUCUGGGCAUCAGCACAAUCCUCCAAAUCCCUUUUGAAAACAAAUGCAUCCUUAUUGCUACGGCAGCCACUUAAUCUAGACACAAAUACAGCUAUAUUAGGUGCACUGUAAUGAAAAGUGAGGAAAGGAGAGUAGAGGAGGAGGAGGAGAGAUAAAAUAUUUUAGAGAACAUUUAUAAACAUUCCUUGUAAAGUUGAUAAACAAUCUUUGAAAGACACAGAAUCCAAAAUACAUACGAAGAUUAUGUGGAUUACAAAAGAAAGCACUGCUCAACUUGUAAGAGACCUUAAGUAUUUUCUAACAGUUGCUUGUAAGUUAAAUGUCUCUUCUUCCCAGCCUACGCAAAUGAUGCUCAUGUUUCCCUAAUCACAUCCAGUUGUAUUUACACAAAA
ensembl:lncRNA novel transcript, antisense to ANKMY2